rnacentral:siRNA from 1 species
UUCUCCAUCUUGUUGAGCAGA